UCGACGGCAGCACGGGGGCAACCCUGGUGGCGAGUGGCGAACGGGUGAGUAACAUAUCGGAACGUGCCCUGGAGUGGGGGAUAACUAGUCGAAAGAUUAGCUAAUACCGCAUACGAUCUACGGAUGAAAGUGGGGGAUCGCAAGACCUCAUGCUCGUGGAGCGGCCGAUAUCUGAUUAGCUAGUUGGUGGGGUAAAGGCCUACCAAGGCAUCGAUCAGUAGCUGGUCUGAGAGGACGACCAGCCACACUGGGACUGAGACACGGCCCAGACUCCUACGGGAGGCAGCAGUGGGGAAUUUUGGACAAUGGGCGCAAGCCUGAUCCAGCAAUGCCGCGUGAGUGAAGAAGGCCUUCGGGUUGUAAAGCUCUUUUGUCAGGGAAGAAACGGUUCGGGUUAAUACCUUGGGCUAAUGACGGUACCUGAAGAAUAAGCACCGGCUAACUACGUGCCAGCAGCCGCGGUAAUACGUAGGGUGCAAGCGUUAAUCGGAAUUACUGGGCGUAAAGCGUGCGCAGGCGGUUGUGCAAGACAGAUGUGAAAUCCCCGGGCUCAACCUGGGAAUUGCAUUUGUGACUGUACGGCUAGAGUGUGUCAGAGGGGGGUAGAAUUCCACGUGUAGCAGUGAAAUGCGUAGAGAUGUGGAGGAAUACCGAUGGCGAAGGCAGCCCCCUGGGAUAACACUGACGCUCAUGCACGAAAGCGUGGGGAGCANACAGGAUUAGAUACCCUGGUAGUCCACGCCCUAAACGAUGUCUACUAGUUGUCGGGUCUUUAUUGACUUGGUAACGCAGCUAACGCGUGAAGUAGACCGCCUGGGGAGUACGGUCGCAAGAUUAAAACUCAAANNAAUUGACGGGGACCCGCACAAGCGGUGGAUGAUGUGGAUUAAUUCGAUGCAACGCGAAAAANNUUACCUACCCUUGACAUGGUCNGAAGCC
rnacentral:rRNA from 1 species